rnacentral:tRNA from 1 species
GUUGUGGCUCAGUGGUAGAGCACUUGCCUGGCAUCUAUGAAGCCCUGGGUUCCAUCCUCAGCCCCACA